rnacentral:rRNA from 1 species
GAUGAACGCUGGCGGCGUGCCUAAUACAUGCAAGUCGAGCGAACGGACGAGAAGCUUGCUUCUCUGAUGUUAGCGGCGGACGGGUGAGUAACACGUGGAUAACCUACCUAUAAGACUGGGAUAACUUCGGGAGACCGGAGCUAAUACCGGAUAAUAUUUUGAACCGCAUGGUACAAAAGUGAAAGACGGUCUUGCUGUCACUUAUAGAUGGAUCCGCGCUGCAUUAGCUAGUUGGUAAGGUAACGGCUUACCAAGGCAACGAUGCAUAGCCGACCUGAGAGGGUGAUCGGCCACACUGGAACUGAGACACGGUCCAGACUCCUACGGGAGGCAGCAGUAGGGAAUCUUCCGCAAUGGGCGAAAGCCUGACGGAGCAACGCCGCGUGAGUGAUGAAGGUCUUCGGAUCGUAAAACUCUGUUAUUAGGGAAGAACAUAUGUGUAAGUAACUGUGCACAUCUUGACGGUACCUAAUCAGAAAGCCACGGCUAACUACGUG